CGCGUAAAGAACUUGCCUCACAGCUAGGGACAACAUUUAGAAAUGAAUGCUAAUACCUGAUAUUAUGAUUUUAAGGCAUCUUAGAAUUAUGGAAGCUAUAAGCACUGUGAGAGAGCUUUGCGUCCCAUUAGCUAGUUGGAGAGGUAACAGCUCACCAAGGCGAUGAUGGGUAGCCGGCCUGAGAGGGUGAACGGCCACAAGGGGACUGAGACACGGCCCUU
rnacentral:rRNA from 1 species